rnacentral:lncRNA from 1 species
UCUCCUUGUUCUUCUCUCCUCCUUCUUCUCCUUCUUCUUCUCCUUCUUCUUCUCUUCUUAUUUUCUUAUUCUUCUCCUCCUCCUUCUCUUUCUCCUUCUCCUCCUCCUCCUCCUUCAUCAUGUUUUUCUUCUCCUUCUUCUUCUCUUCUUGCUUCUUCUCUUUCUUCUUCAAUUUAGCUUAUUUGUCAUAUAUAUGUUGUUGUUGUUCUUAUGAUUUUCUUAUUCCCAUUUUGC